AGGUUUGGCAUGUCACAAGGAGCCUGUCAGAGUCACAGCAGCACACAGCGGGAAGGUAAACUGACUCCACUACAGGUCAGAGUUCUCAUUACUGAUAAUGUCAAACAGUGGCCUUAUCCAACACAUCCGCAACCCUCCUACACCGCCAACACCGGUACUAGGAUGUUCAAAGAUUUUUUUUUGUGUCAUGCCCAUCGCUCAGAUCGCAAUCGGUGCGGUACAUCUGGAUGACUGUCCGCGACAGCACUACAUCCCCAUCUAUCUGAUAGUGGUGGGAGUCUUUGGCCUGAUGCUGGGGGUGCUCUCCUGCCUGCCCUGCACCAAAACUCCCGAAGACGGCACCUCCAGCCCGAUCAGUCGACUCUGCACGGCCUGGAACUCGUUGAUAACUUUCUUCCUCUCCUGCUGGUUUAUUGCUGGUAAUGUGUGGAUAUACUCUAUUUACCAGCCCAACUACAACAAGAACACAACAAAUACGGAUCCGUACUGCGACAGGACACUCUACCUGUUUGCCUUCUGGACCACCACGUUAGUCUACAUCCUGCUGGGUCUGUUCCUGGUCGGCGGCUGCUGCGUCCUCGUCUGCUUCUUCCUGUGUGGCAGAGCCGACGCAGACGACGACAUCUAGAGACAAACGAACCAAUGAGAUUUAUCAUACACAAUGGCAGAGAGUGACGUAUAUCAAAGCAUCCGCACCCCUCCUAAACCUCCAGGAGUAAUAAUAGGAUGUACCCAGGUGAUUAUGGGUUUAAUGCCCAUUGCUCAGCUAGUAGUAGGAGCAAUGUACCAACAUGACUGCCCGAGGCAGCCCUACAUCCCCAUCUAUCUGCUGGUGAUGGGAAUCGUCUCCCUGGCGCUGAAUGUGCUCUCCAUCCUGCCCUGCUGCGCCAACUUUGGGAAUCAGAGCAAGGGCUGGGGCUGCUUAGUGUCUCUCUUCUUCUUCUGCUGGUUCAUCGCUGGUAAUGUGUGGAUUUACUCCAUCUAUGAACCCAACUACAACAACACAAUAUCCAGCAUGGAUACCUACUGCAACAAGACCCUCUACCUGUUUGCCUUCUGGACCACCAACCUCUUCUACAUCCUACUCGGUUUCAUCCUUUUCUCUAGCUGCUGCUCUGCUCUGUGCUGCAAUGAUUAAAAGAAAAACAACCCAACACACGUGUAGAGUGGUUGGCGGAUGUAAUUGCAAUAUUAAUCUGUGAUUUCAUGAGUGUUUGAUGCACAUUUUGACAUCAGAUUUUUUUAAUGUAAAACACUGGAAAGAAAUCUUUAAAUCACCUCAAGCACCAGCCUCACAUCUUUUAUUUGUUAUGCAUCUUUUAUCACAGAAAUAUUAUAAUUUACAUACAAAUUUCAAUAUAAUAUUGUAUGUUUACUUCAUGAAAUUUAUAACUUUUCACAACAGUAAAUGUUUGAGUACUACUA